GGCGUGGCGGGGACCAGGUCCCCGGCAUUGCGGAGCAGGAACUCGCGGCGGUGGCGCCAGUGUUUGUCCGUCUCGCCCUCGCAGCGCAGCGUCUCCACCCAGGCGGCCACUCGCGGGUUCUGGCUCAGGUGGUCUUGCAGUUUCGUGAUUAGACCUACAAAUUCAAUGUCAGCAAGCUGUCUGUAGAUGCCUUCCCUGGAUCGUCAUGAAGAAUGACCUGCUUCUCCAAGAAUCUACCUUUCCGAGGCUCAUAGGCAGCUAAUGUACUUAUGUUUUCAAGUUGUACAAAUGAAGAAAUGGGGGUAACAGAAUCAUGUGCUUUUAAACAAUAAAUUCUCCCCUCAGAAAUUGGCAAUAUUUAAGAGAGAAAAGCCCCAUCUAGACAACCAGAUCCUGGAAAGGUUUCAUCCCAGUUGAAGGAUGUCGCCAAACAGCUACAAGGGGUAGCAGCAUGUACGCCUGUGGAUGACAAGAGGUGGCGACGCCAGCAGGCCAUCCUUGCUCAAAAGGCUGGUGGAGGACUGAGGGGCACACCCUCAUCAAAUGCCAGUUCUUUCCUCUCAGCGAGGCCCCGCCCCUCCACACCACCUCCUCCAGCAUUGAAGCAUCACCAGACCCUCUGGGGACAUUUCUGUGAGUGUCCUGCUGCUGUUCCUUCUUGUGGGGAGGAGUGAAUAGCAUCUAUUCAGCCCAGAUGGGGCCCAGACAACACGCCGACGAAAUGACUCCUUGGUUUUGAGCUCGGCUCUCCGGGUCGGCGGUGCGCUUCUGUCAUUUUCCCUUGAGACCACUGGGUGGCGCUGAAGGAGCCGGGAUUGCCAGAAAGACUGUGGCUUCCAACUGCUGUCAGAGGGAUUUAGGGAAGAGCAGUCAGUCACACAGGUAUCAGGACAGUGUAAGAUCUGGGGCCCAAGGAAGACUCUCAAGAGACAAGAAAUAAAAGUUGUCAAGAGGAUGCAAUGGAGGCUGCCUCUAGGAGGCAAGGAGAACAUCAGAGAAUUUGAACCUUUCUGUCUUUCUCUGCUGUCCUGGCCUCUGUGACUCAGUUUCUCACCGUGUCUUCUCACAAGAUUCAGAAUCAAGCAACAGAAGCAAACUCAUCCCGUUCCCCUGUGGAUUUGCUGAAAACCGGGGACAAACUCAAAUACCACUCCAAAAGAAUAUGAGAAGGAGAAGCCAAGUUGGCCCUGUCAGGAUCCCCACAGAAAUGGAAUGAUAGCCCGGGGGAGCUGAAACUUGUCCUGUGUGGAGACUGGCGUUACAUACUGUCUGUGUAGACCAGGCUAGUCUUGAACUUACAAAGAUCCACCUCCCUCUGCCUUCCAUGUGCUGGGAAUAAAGGCGUGUGCGCCAUCA